CUAGCCAAACCCGUGUGGUUGGUAUUAUUUCCGGGCUGCAAUGAGAAAACAAAACUGCAAGGAGAAGUAACUUGCCUCUGGUUAUACCGCUAACCGUGAGAACAGGCUGUUCCAACGAGACUUGAAAAGCUGCCUUUGGUGGACUGACUUCCCGGUCCCCUCAAAGAAUGUCAGUCCUGAGGGUCUGUAAUCCUCUCACUCCCAAAGUAAGAGGACCAAGGCGGCUUGAGGAAGAAUCAAGGGUAGUAUCGGCUUCAGGAAGUAACAAAGCACAGGCAGGGUCCUCUGCGAAGUGAUGCAGAUGAAACCCCAGGAAUGAAUGACACGCUCAGUACCUGCCAGGCACCGCUCUGAGAACUUCAUCCGCAUUAUGUUACUUAAUCAUCACGGCCCCCUGCCAGGAGGAUCAUUAUGCCUGCUUUACAGAAAAGACUUACAGGUUAAAGUGCCUAAGGUCCUGCAGUCUCCAAACCUGGCCAAUCCACCCGCAGAGCCCAUGCUCUGAACCACCGCACCACAUGGCCAGGUGAGGGCCGUCUCGGUCCCCAAAUGAGCCGCCUACGCAUACACUGCCAAGCCUUUGCCCACGCUGUUGGCUCUCCCCUGCUGUGCUUGGAACGCCUACUUGACCUUCAAAUUCCAGCCUGAGUCCUCCACCUCCUCUGUGCUCCUGACUCCUUGUGCAUCUCCACACACAUUAGAGCUGUGUGUGUGUGUGUGUGUCCCUCAGGGCACACACGCAAGGGCAGGUUCUGCGCUUCAUUCAUUUGCAUCCACACUGCACAGUGCCUGACACACAGAUGGUGCUCAAGACAUACUUGAUGAAGGAAGAAAGAGGGAAACCUGGAUCUCAGGUAGCUCAGGGAAAUGCUUCUAUCACCUGGCACGAGCUGAGGGAUCCCCGCUCCCGCCUGUCAUUUUAUAUUUAUUAAAAGGGACCUACCCCGUCUCCUGCUCCAUGCAGCACCUUAAAUAUUAGGUGGCUGCUUUUCUCAAAAUGAGAGUCUUUCCUGCUAAGGAAAACAAUAGCCUGAUUUGCUCCUGUCCUCAAGAUUUCUGGUAACAAUCUCAGAGGUCAGCGAGGAAAACUGGAGUGGGGUAGAGGGCCAAGGACUUAUAGUCUCCUUCAGGGGCUUGGGGGCUUGGGAGAAACCCCACAAACCCAGCAGGCUCUUGCUGGCUGGCUGGCUGAUGAUCAUGCCCUCUCUCUCUCUCUUUCUCUCUGUCUGUCUCUCUCUCUCUCUUUCUCCCUCUCUGUCUCUCUCUCUCUCUCCUACUCCCUCUUCCCCUCCACUUCUCUCUUUGUACCUCUUGCCCUCCUUCUUCUGUUUUCUCUCUCUCUCUCUCUCUCUCACACACACACACACACACACACAGACACACACACACAAACACACACACACACACAUAGAGCCUUGGUAACUAGUGGUUACAAAAAAAGCCCAAAUUCAGCCACAGCCACACUCCGUCAAAUGAGAAAUCCUCUGCUAAUACACGGGCAUGACAAGUUUCUUCCAAAGCAUCUCAUAUGCGUUGCUGUGCAGUCGCCAGUGAACGUGAGUCCAGCCGCCUGCACCACCGCCUUCCCGUGCGUAUGCCUCGGAGCAUUGUUCGUCAGGAUUCCUCAGAUGGAAAAGUUGUGAACAUUUGGGCAGUGCCAGGGCUGGCGUUGCAGAGCCUGCUUUAAUGAGUGCAUAAUUAACACCGUGGGCUUCUGCCAAUGGCCAGCACUUAAGUCCUUGAAAACAGUCUGUUCCCUGAAAUAGGUUAAACGCCCCUCCACCGCCACUGCUACCUCGUUUACACCACUGACUCAGCCACAAUGCCUAUAUAUGUGAAGAAAAAAAUCCCCAAAGAAAUUAUUAGUGUUGGCAUAGCAACAAUAUGUUAAUUGUGUCUUUCCUAAAGCAGGCCCAGCAGGACCACCACCCGGGGUUGGUCCAGUUUCUGUGCACUUUAAAAUAGAAGAAAACUGCACUCUUCUGACUAGGUGCUGUAUUGCAGAAUCUCCCCACCAUGUAACCCAAGUUAAUAAGGUUUAGGUGAUUUUUUAAUGCCUCCAUGCUAAAAUAGAAAAAAAAAAAAAAAAAAAAGCUAAGACUUGAUCCAUAAAACUAUCUUGAUGUCAAGACAUUGAACAGAAAAAAGAUCAUUGUUGUCUGCCUUGGUCCUCCACCCCCGUAACUUCUCUGAUGCAUCUCUGAAGCCUAACUACUCAAUGAAGGAGGGCUCCUGAAUUUGCGGAGGUGAACAGCUUAUGACCAUUAUUACACUUUGGGGUGCAAACGAUAAAGAUCCCAACUCAAAUGAGCUAACCAGGAAAGAAGAGUGUUGGCUGCUUAGAAGGACAUCCAGAUGGGGGCUUCGGGCUAGUGGACUGCACAGUUUGAGGCUGUAACUAAGGGCUUGGCUGUUUUCCAGGUCUCUGUUCUUCCAUUCUCAGUACUGAUGGCAGAAGACUGGGCCCCUAUGAGCACCACUACUAGCAUCCCAGCAAAGGAGGAGAGAGAAACAGAGACAGAGGGAGAGGGACAGAAACAGAGAGAUAAGGAGAGCCAGAGAGAGAAGGGAUCUGGCUUCUCAUCCCUCCACAAAUGGAAGAACAUUUUCCCAGAGACUUUCAGCAAACCACUUCCUGCAUCUCAUUUUAUGGCAGAAUCAGGUCACACAUGCCCAUUCCAGAACUAGUCAGUAGCAAGGAAGAUGGGAUUAUUCUCCCCGGCACCGGAGCACUCCUUGAACUGAAGGUGAUUGUUCAAACUAAAGUCCUACUGUCCCCUGUGCCAGGGGCGGACUGGGCAUUGGAGAGGCCACUGCUGUGUUCACCACAUGAGCACAUAUAUUCUACCACUCUUGCCUCCAGCUAGUCAGGCUCAAGCUUGGGCUCACUCACAAGGGAGCCCACAAAGCAGUGGGAGCUUCAGAGGACGGAGUCCAGUGAUCCUCCUUUCGCGUGGGGAAGUGGCAAAUCCACUCUUUAACACGGCUCUUUAAUUCUCAGGGAUGACGGGUGAGCCUCUCUGGGCAGGAGCACUGGG
rnacentral:lncRNA from 10 species